CAGUCGCCACGGGAAUACGGAGGAUCCAAGCGUUAUCCGGAAUUACUGGGCGUAAAGAGUUGCGUAGGCGGCAUAGUAAGCAGAUAGUGAAAGCGUGUGGCUCAACCAUACUCACAUUAUCUGAACUGCUAAGCUAGAGGAUGAGAGAGGUCACUGGAAUUCCUAGUGUAGGAGUGAAAUCCGUAGAUAUUAGGAGGAACACCAAUGGCGUAGGCAGGUGACUGGCUCAUUCCUGACGCUCAGGCACGAAAGCGUGGGUAGCAAACGGGAUUAGAUACCCCGGUAGUCCCUGUCUCUUAUU
rnacentral:rRNA from 1 species